AUACUUACCUGGCUUGGGAGACACCACAAUAAGGCAGCUGGCUUUACCAGUGUGAGGGUUAUCUCCUGAACUCCAGGUGUGCUGACACUUUCAGUUUCCCCAAAGGCAUGAAACUCCACAACAUACUUUGUGGUAGUAGAAGACAAUAUAUAUGCUCUCACCUU
rnacentral:snRNA from 1 species